rnacentral:rRNA from 1 species
UAACAGGAUUAGAUACCCUGGUAGUCCACGCUGUAAACGAUGUCGACUUGGAGGUUGUGCCCUUGAGGCGUGGCUUCCGGAGCUAACGCGUUAAGUCGACCGCCUGGGGAGUACGGCCGCAAGGUUAAAACUCAAAUGAAUUGACGGGGGCCCGCACAAGCGGUGGAGCAUGUGGUUUAAUUCGAUGCAACGCGAAGAACCUUACCUACUCUUGACAUCCACGGAAUUCGCCAGAGAUGGCUUAGUGCCUUCGGGAACCGUGAGACAGGUGCUGCAUGGCUGUCGUCAGCUCGUGUUGUGAAAUGUUGGGUUAAGUCCCGCAACGAGCGCAACCCUUAUCCUUUGUUGCCAGCACGUAAUGGUGGGAACUCAAAGGAGACUGCCGGUGAUAAACCGGAGGAAGGUGGGGAUGACGUCAAGUCAUCAUGGCCCUUACGAGUAGGGCUACACACGUGCUACAAUGGCAUAUACAAAGAGAAGCGAACUCGCGAGAGCAAGCGGACCUCAUAAAGUAUGUCGUAGUCCGGAUUGGAGUCUGCAACUCGACUCCAUGAAGUCGGAAUCGCUAGUAAUCGUAGAUCAGAAUGCUACGGUGAAUACGUUCCCGGGCCUUGUACACACCGCCCGUCACACCAUGGGAGUGGGUUGCACAAAGAAGUAGGUAGC